UACAGAGGUCUCAAGCGUUGUUCGGAUUCAUUGGGCGUAAAGGGUGUGUAGGUGGCGCGCUAAGUCGGGUGUGAAAUUUCGGAGCUUAACUCCGAAACUGCAUUCGAUACUGGCGUGCUUGAGGACUGCAGAGGAGACUGGAAUUCCCGGUGUAGCGGUGAAAUGUGUAGAGAUCGGGAGGAACACCGGUGGCGAAGGCGGUUCUCUGGGCCUUACCUGACGCUGAGGAGCGAAAGCGUGGGAGCGAACAGG
rnacentral:rRNA from 1 species